UCCAAGUAAAGAAACAUUCAUACGUCUUACCAUCUGUCCUAGUCCCAGAACCUGACAAGGAGAACCCACUGGGUCUGACUGGAGGAAAAGAGGAAAGCUCGUUCCAGAAGGAACUGUCUGAGAGAA